GAUGAACGCUGGCGGCGUGCCUAAUACAUGCAAGUCGAGCGAACAGAUGAGGAGCUUGCUCCUCUUACGUUAGCGGCGGACGGGUGAUUAACACGUGGAUAACCUACCUAUAAGACUGGGAUAACUUCGGGAAACCUGAGACAAUACCGGAUAAUAUAUUGAACCGCAUGGUUCAAUAGUGAAAGACGGUUUUGCUGUCACUUAUAGAUGUAUCCGCGCCGCAUUAGCUAGUUGGUAAGGUAACGGCUUACCAAGGCAACGAUGCGUAGCCGACCUGAGAGGGUGAUCGGCCACACUGGAACUGAGACACGGUCCAGACUCCUACGGGAGGCAGCAGUAGGGAAUCUUCCGCAAUGGGCGAAAGCCUGACGGAGCAACGCCGCGUGAGUGAUGAAGGUCUUCGGAUCGUAAAGCUCUGUUAGUAGGGAAGAACAAAUGUGUAAGUAACUAUGCAUGUCUUGACGGUACCUAAACAGAAAGCCACGGCUAACUACGUG
rnacentral:rRNA from 1 species